GUGACCAGCACGCCUGUGGACGGCUCUAGCAUGGCCAGUCCAACUACCACCCAGGACCCUGGAUGGGCUGCAGGGUCCCCGUCUAGUGGUCCUUGGUCCUCUCGACCCCAGCCAGGCCCAGCAACAUGGUGGACGUUCAGGAGGGUGGCGCUGGUCUGCUGGGGAGACGCGGGAACCAGGCUGGACAGCAGAAUGCACUCCCCUCCCCAUCGGGCCGAUGCUGACAGGUGGGUGAGUGAGCCCAGCUGGGCCCCGGGCUCUCCGACCCCCGUCCUGGGGCUUGGGAAUCUGCCAUUUGGUGAUGUUUUCAUUGAAAUGGAAUUUGCUCUAUGCUUGUUUAUCGAUUUGAGUUCCUGGGGCCCGAUGGGCCUGACUUGCACACGCUGCUCCUGCCCUGCUGUGCACUGUUCUGACCCUGGGGGGGUUGCUGCCGCUCCCCUGGCAUCAGGGCCACCUCCCCUGGGUGAGUGGGGCCAGGAUGGGGUGGAAGAGGGCUCCCAACUCUGCUCUCCAUCCUGCAGCAGGUGUUCCUGGGGCUGUCUUUGGGUGGGCCUGAGGGGCCCCGGCAGACACCAGCCACACGCUGAUCUGAUGUCCUAGAACUUGGUACGGCACAGCGUACCUCGCGUACUGGGAGAGCCAGAGCAGCAACACAAAGGCCUUCCCAGAGGCCCUCUGAGCCCCCACACCCGGGGGCUCAGACCUGGCAGGGGCCCGUCUCUCUGCCAGCCUCACCACCUCUGGGAUUCCGUCAGAGAAGAGCUUGGGAAGUCAGGGAUGUCACCACUUCCCCAGCCCCUCGUCCUCAGCCUGCUCGCUGGGUACCCGUGGCUGCAGAGAGAGAGAGAGAGGUCAGGCUGCUCCUGUCUUCCCCUUGGACACAGCCCCUCGGAGCUCCUACCCUGUGCCCCAAGGCCCCUUACCCCACACCCUUUGGGUCUUCCUGGAGACUCUGCCAAGGGAAAGGGAUUUCUCCUGGUGCCGCUCUGCUCCCAGCCCUCCAGGGAACCCUGAGCCCCACACCUCAGGCUCUCUGCCCUUCACCUCUAGCCCUCCUGGGUCCUGCCUCCUCCCUGUGCCCUGCCCCGCGCCCCUGGGCAGCUCAGAGGAGACCCAGCAGGUGCCACAUCAGGGAGCCUUGUCGUUGGGACCUGGGUGUGGCUGACGGUGCCCAUGGGGGGAGGCCAGCCAUACUGGGGAGCGGGGUCUCUGCUCUCGUCCAGGAUACCUACCCUGAAUGGAGCCGUAGGUCCAACGAGGGGGAAACCCCGGUCACAGGACGCUGUGCAGAACGAGCGCUCUGGAAGCUGUCCAAGGGAGAUCUCUCCUGGGGCCCUCAGGCAGCGCCCAGCCUGCAACGAAGACUUCGCGGGGAUCCUAGCGUGUGCCCUGGUUUCCGGGGCCCGAACUGCCACUGCUCUGGCUCCGCAGCGUUGAUGAGGGGGCGGUUCUGUUACUCAAAUGCAGCUGACAGGAGUGACCACAGCCCCUAGACACCUGUCCGUACCCCUGAGGGCCGAAGGCCUUGACGCUCUCCAGGACGCCCUUGAAGGGGAAACCAGGGUAGUUCCGAAAUCCUGCCUCAAAUCCGCACACCAGGAGU